CUGUAACGUUAAUUGUUGCUUUUUCUUCGUGAGACAAUUCAACAUUUUUAAUUUUUGUUACAAUGAACUAAAACAUAGAGCCUCUAGCAAUUUAUAUUUUUAAUUGUGCUAAAUAUUUGGAUAAACUUAAAUAAAAAAAAGUACUAUACAUUUUAACGCUUUAAAUCCGAGAGUGACUUUCUCGAGCGGAGACGAUGACAGGUCAGGUUUAUUUUCAUCUUUCGAAGAAAACAAAGUUCAGUUCCAUAACAAUGACAUUUAAUGGGAAAGCAAAGGUACAGUGGACAACACAAAGACGACCCGAGUCCACUCGGCAAAGCUGGAAUUCUUCAACGUCUCAAGUCGUAUUGCAAGAAAAUAACGGAACUUCCCCUCUUCUUUCCAUGGGGCGCAUGGCAGUAUAAUCUACUCCAUGAAGGUGGAGAUACACAGGCCCUGGCAUCUAACCAAGGCGUUUGAGACAGAGUUCAACUUUGCCACCUACAUAGACACCAACCAACCACAUCUUCUGAUUUCCAGAUGGGACAGCUACAGUGAUUAUAUCCCUGACCUCGUCAAAGGAGAGUAGGAGGGAGGGAAAUACACACACACACACACACACACACACACACACA
rnacentral:lncRNA from 1 species